GCUCGAAUAGCUUAAUCGGUAGAGCAAAAUAUUGAAGCUAUUUGUGUAUAAGUUCAAGUCUUAUUUCGAGCA
rnacentral:tRNA from 1 species